rnacentral:rRNA from 1 species
GACAGAGGAUGCAAGCGUUAUCCGGAAUGAUUGGGCGUAAAGCGUCUGUAGGUGGCUUUUUAAGUCUGCCGUCAAAUCCCAGGGCUUAACCCUGGACAGGCGGUGGAAACUACCAAGCUGGAGUACGGUAGGGGCAGGGGGAAUUUCCGGUGGAGCGGUGAAAUGCAUUGAGAUCGGAAAGAACACCAACGGCGAAAGCACUCUGCUGGCCGACACUGACACUGAGAGACGAAAGCUAGGGGAGCAAAUGG